rnacentral:rRNA from 1 species
UACGUAGGGUGCGAGCGUUAAUCGGAAUACUGGGCGUAAAGCGUGCGCAAGCGGUUUUGUAAGCCAGAUGUGAAAUCCCCGGGCUUAACCUGGGAAUGGCAUUUGGGACUGCAAGGCUCGAGUGCGGCAGAGGAGACUGGAAUUCCUGGUGUAGCAGUGAAAUGCGUAGAUAUCAGGAGGAACACCGAUGGCGAAGGCAGGUCUCUGGGCUGACACUGACGCUCAUGCACGAAAGCGUGGGGAGCAAACAGG